ensembl:processed_transcript Gm13187 predicted gene 13187
AUAGAAAAUAGAAUCGUAUCUGCAGCCGCAGGAAGUUCCCCUAUUGCCCAGGAAAAACAUCAGUAGCAACAUCAGUAGCAGUAGCACAAUGUAAACCAGCAUCUCUAGUCUGUAGCAACUGCUUAAUGAAAACAAACAGCCGACUACAGCCACGUAGCUUACCCUCUCCACGCUGCGCCUUCUCAGAGAUCCAUAAGCUGUGUGAAGCAGCGCCUUCAGCUUCCUUCUAGCUGUCCCUGCAGCUCUGGCUCAGCGUGACCUGCUGCCCCAGGAGUGGGUACGUGGUGCUUGUGAGGAGAAUGAUCCAGAAAUGUCAACUUGGCUUCUCCGGGCUUCGGAUGGCAAC